rnacentral:sRNA from 1 species
GAUACCAAAACUGAAGUGGCUGAAGAGGUGGCUUAGCAUUCUAAGCAGGCUUUCACAAUGAACAGUAGCUACAGUUUCUGGCAUGGCCCUUCUUGUCUUCUUGAGCACCUGAUACGAAGCACAAAACAAGAAUGGAGUCGGGAAUGAGGAUCUCAUCAUGCUUUCAAUGUGAAAAUACAAAACUGAAUCCACAUCUUAUUUCUGGCUUCCUAUUUAUCCUGCCAGCAUCCAUUUAAUUUUAUCUCCACUAUGCUGCUACUUUCCUGGCAUAGGUCUGAAGUAAAUCAUGGCGUCAUAUCCCAAGGAAAUGUUUGCAACUUCCUCCUAAAUCAUGUAAACUACCUAAAGAUGAUAGCAAAGGAUAUUUACAGUGGAGCAGAAAUUGCUAUAUCCAAGUGUGUGAGGUAUUCAGAUUCUCUCCGAAUCUCUGAAUCUGGCAACAGGACUGUAAAGCAAGAGAAACGAUUCUAAAAUGUCAUUUGGUUCCAAGCCUCAACUUCUUUCCAUGACCUCUUCAUGCCUUUAAAACCCAGUACCAAGUGAGAGACUUGCACAUGGUUUGUCAAGUUCUGCUGCCAGCUAAUGAUUACAAUUUCCACACUCUCAACUCACCCCUACCCCAUACAUAUGGGCACUUUGGAACUCAACUUACUACUGAUAAUUCCAAGGAAACGCUUCUGGAAAAAAAAAGUUUCAACUGUGCUUGUCUUUCAUUAGCCACCACUAACUGAGAAUGCCUGUUCCAGUGAAAUGAAGGAUUCACUUUAGAGGUGCUGGU